GUACUCUGGCUUUUUCUCAGGUCGUGUCAAUUUUUUGCUUUUUUAAAAUGUUUCCUUGGAGAAGAACACUUGUGAGUUUUAACCAAUUGUUUUCAGGUCUUGUGCUUGCAAGGCU